UGGGGGAUAUUGCACAAUGGGGGGAACCCUGAUGCAGCAACGCCGCGUGAGUGAAGAAGUACCUCGGUACGUAAAGCUCUAUCAGCAGGGAAGAAGAGAAGCCCUUUGGGCUUGGACGGUACCUGACUAAGAAGCCCCGGCUAACUACGUGCCAGCAGCCGCGGUAAUACGUAGGGGGCAAGCGUUAUCCGGAUUUACUGGGUGUAAAGGGAGCGUAGACGGCAAUGCAAGUCUGGAGUGAAAUCCCGGGGCUUAACCCAGGGGCUGCUCUGGAAACUGUAAGGCUGGAGUGCAGGAGAGGUAAGUGGAAUUCCUAGUGUAGCGGUGAAAUGCGUAGAUAUUAGGAGGAACACCGGUGGCGAAGGCGGCUUACUGGACUGUAACUGACGUUGAGGCUCGAAAGCGUGGGGAGCAAACAGG
rnacentral:rRNA from 1 species